AGAAAAAACUUGGAGUGAGACAGGGCUGCUAACUUUGUUUUGGGUAAUUCGAUUUUAUCCUUUUUCUU
rnacentral:tRNA from 1 species